rnacentral:rRNA from 1 species
CCUACGGGAGGCAGCAGUGGGGAAUUUUGGACAAUGGGCGCAAGCCUGAUCCAGCAAUGCCGCGUGCAGGAUGAAGGCCUUCGGGUUGUAAACUGCUUUUGUACGGAGCGAAACGGUCCGCUUUAAUACAGUGGGCUAAUGACGGUACCGUAAGAAUAAGCACCGGCUAACUACGUGCCAGCAGCCGCGGUAAUACGUAGGGUGCGAGCGUUAAUCGGAAUUACUGGGCGUAAAGCGUGCGCAGGCGGUUAUAUAAGACAGAUGUGAAAUCCCCGGGCUCAACCUGGGACCUGCAUUUGUGACUGUAUAGCUAGAGUACGGUAGAGGGGGAUGGAAUUCCGCGUGUAGCAGUGAAAUGCGUAGAUAUGCGGAGGAACACCGAUGGCGAAGGCAAUCCCCUGGACCUGUACUGACGCUCAUGCACGAAAGCGUGGGGAGCAAACAGGAUUAGAUACCCUGGUAGUACCACGCCCUAAACCGAACUAGCCGAACCUAGGUUGGUUGGGUUCGUUCUACUGACUCAGUAACGAAAGACUAACGACGUGAAGUUAGUACCGCCUCGGGGAGGUACGGCCGCCGAAGGUUAGGUAAACGUACCGAAAGGAAAGUUAGUACGG